CCUACGGGAGGCAGCAGUGGGGAAUUUUGCGCAAUGCUCGUAAGAGUGACGCAGCGACGCCGCGUGAAUGACGAAGGCCUUCGGGUCGUAAAGUUCUUUCGACAGGGAAGAAAAUGCCUAUAAGUAACUGUGUAUGUAUUGCCGGUACCUGUAUAAGAAGCCCCGGCUAACUCCGUGCCAGCAGCCGCGGUAAUACGGAGGGGGCGAGCGUUUUUCGGAGGGACUGGGCGUAAAGCGCACGUAGGCGGUGUUGUAAGUCAUUAGUCAAAGACUAGAGCUCAACUUUAGUAAGGCUGGUGAUACUAUAAUACUAGAGUAUCAGAGAGGAUUGCAGAAUUCCUGGUGUAGCGGUGAAAUGCGUAGAUAUCAGGAGGAAUACCGUUAGCGAAGGCGGCAAUCUGGCUGGAAACUGACGCUGAGGUGCGAAAGCGUGGGUAGCAAACAGGAUUAGAUACCCCAGUAGUC
rnacentral:rRNA from 1 species